GACGAACGCUGGCGGCGUGCCUAAUACAUGCAAGUUGAGCGCUGAAGGUUGGUACUUGUACCGACUGGAUGAGCAGCGAACGGGUGAGUAACGCGUGGGGAAUCUGCCUUUGAGCGGGGGACAACAUUUGGAAACGAAUACUAAUACCGCAUAAAAACUUUAAACACAAGUUUUAAGUUUGAAAGAUGCAAUUGCAUCACUCAAAGAUGAUCCCGCGUUGUAUUAGCUAGUUGGUGAGAUAAAGGCUCACCAAGGCGAUGAUACAUAGCCGACCUGAGAGGGUGAUCGGCCACAUUGGGACUGAGACACGGCCCAAACUCCUACGGGAGGCAGCAGUAGGGAAUCUUCGGCAAUGGACGAAAGUCUGACCGAGCAACGCCGCGUGAGUGAAGAAGGUUUUCGGAUCGUAAAACUCUGUUGGUAGAGAAGAACGUUGGUGAGAGUGGAAAGCUCAUCAAGUGACGGUAACUACCCAGAAAGGGACGGCUAACUACGUG
rnacentral:rRNA from 1 species